rnacentral:rRNA from 1 species
GGUUAAGUUAAAAAGGGCGCAUGGUGGAUGCCUUGGCACUAGAAGCCGAUGAAGGACGGGACUAACACCGAUAUGCUUCGGGGAGCUGUACGUAAGCUUUGAUCCGGAGAUUUCCGAAUGGGGAAACCCAGCAGCUUUAAUCAGCUGUUACUAUAUCGUGAAUUCAUAGCGAUAUAGAGGUAGACGUGGGGAACUGAAACAUCUCAGUACCCACAGGAGCAGAAAGAAAUUUCGAUUCCCUAAGUAGCGGCGAGCGAACGGGGAACAGCCCAAACCAACGAGCUUGCUCGUUGGGGUUGUAGGACUGAACAUUUGAGUUACCAAAGUUGUUGAUAAUCGAACAAUCUGGGAAGGUUGGCGAAACAGGGUGAUAGCCCCGUAGGUGAAAUCAAUGACCCUCAGUUCAGGAUCCUGAGUACGGCGACACACGUGAAACGUCGUCGGAAUCCGGGAGGACCAUCUCCCAAGGCUAAAUACUCUCUAGUGACCGAUAGUGUACCAGUACCGUGAGGGAAAGGUGAAAAGCACCCCGGAAGGGGAGUGAAAUAGUUCCUGAAACCAUGUGCCUACAAGCAGUUAGAGCCCGUUAAUGGGUGAUAGCGUGCCUCUUGUAGAAUGAACCGGCGAGUUACGGUAACAUGCAAGGUUAAGGUUUAAAAGCCGGAGCCGCAGCGAAAGCGAGUCUGAAAUGGGCGUUUAAGUAUGUUGCUGUAGACCCGAAACCAGGUGAUCUACCCAUGUCCAGGGUGAAGGUGCGGUAAAACGCGCUGGAGGCCCGAACCCGUGUACGUUGAAAAGUGCUGGGAUGAGGUGUGGGUAGCGGUGAAAUUCCAAACGAACUUGGAGAUAGCUGGUUCUCUCCGAAAUAGCUUUAGGGCUAGCCUCGGACGUAGAAUCAUGGAGGUAGAGCCACUGUUUGGACGAGGGGCCCGUCAUGGGUUACUAAAUUCAGAUAAACUCCGAAUACCAUUGAUUUUUAUCCGGGAGUCAGACGGUGAGUGAUAAGAUCCAUCGUCAAAAGGGGAACAGCCCAGACCACCAGUUAAGGUCCCUAAAUAUAUGCUAAGUGGAAAAGGAUGUGGAGUUGCAUAGACAACUAGGAUGUUGGCUCAGAAGCAGCCACCAUUUAAAGAGUGCGUAAUAGCUCACUAGUCGAGUGAUUCCGCGCCGAAAAUUUACCGGGGCUAAGCAUAUUACCGAGACUGUGGACUUGACCAUUAGGUCAAGUGAUAGGAGAGCGUUCUAAGGGCAAUGAAGCCAGACCGUAAGGACUGGUGGAGCGCUUAGAAGUGAGAAUGCCGGUAUGAGUAGCGAAAAAUCAGUGAGAAUCUGAUUCACCGAAUGACUAAGGUUUCCUGGGGAAGGCUCGUCCUCCCAGGGUUAGUCGGGACCUAAGCCGAGGCCGAAAGGCGUAGGCGAUGGAUAACAGGUUGAGAUUCCUGUACUAGUUGAUUAUGUUUGAGCGAUGGAGGGACGCAGGAGGCUAAGUUGUGCAUCCAGCUGGAAACGGAUGUUUAAGCCACAAGUCAGUCAAAGAGUUAAAUGCUUUUUGGCGGGUUGACAAGUGGUGAUGAGGACCGAAAUUUAAGUAGGGAAGCAACCAACGUCACACUGCCGAGAAAAGCUUCUAGUGAGUAAUCAACUACCCGUACCGCAAACCGACACAGGUAGUCGAGGAGAGAAUCCUCAGGUGAGCGAGUGAACUCUUGUUAAGGAACUCGGCAAAAUGACCCCGUAACUUCGGGAGAAGGGGUGCUGUGCGCAAGCACAGCCGCAGUGAAAAGGCCCAGGCGACUGUUUAUCAAAAACACAGGUUUCUGCAAAAUCGUAAGAUGACGUAUAGGGGCUGACGCCUGCCCGGUGCUGGAAGGUUAAGUGGAUGAGUUAGCUUCGGCGAAGCCCAGAAAUGAAGCCCCAGUAAACGGCGGCCGUAACUAUAACGGUCCUAAGGUAGCGAAAUUCCUUGUCGGGUAAGUUCCGACCC